AGGACAUUUUCAUAUUUGUUUGUGUUGUAUUGACAUUUCUUUUGACAAAACAGAAGUAACAUUUAGUUCUGUAGGAAGUGAAAUCUUUGAAACUCGGGGAUCAGGGAGCAACUACUGACGGCUGCGUUCGAAUACUCGCGGGAGACUUGGAUAGGUACCACAGAACUACGGAAUCGAGAGAACUGCAGUUUCAACGCGGGCUUGACCUGUCCAGCGUUGUCUCCGAAAGAUUACGGAAAGCAGCACAAGAAGACUGCCCCGGUUGACCGUGACUGGCCGCAAUGACCGGGCACGGGGAGAGUAACGUGUGUGUGGUCGAGGAGGAUAAAGAGAGUCUGAGAAGAAGGUUGGAGCAUCUGCAGAGGGAGUAUGAACGAACUGCCCUUCGACUACAGAGAGCGGAGCGCAGAGACGUGGUCCGCAGGCAUGUUCGUAGUCGCAUCUCAGAACACAACCAAUCACUGCCCUCGGAACACAACCAAUCACUGCCCUUCCCUCAAACGCAAGCCCCUCCCAUGCAUCCACUCGAGUCAAACCACUGCAGCAAACCAGCUAACCAAUCAGGACGAGGUAAAUAUUGCGCUCUCUGUCAAUGUACGCUGUCCAUGCUGU